CGCGUAGGCGGUCACGUGUGUCGGAUGUGAAAGCCCGGGGCUUAACCUCGGAAGUGCAUUCGAAACUGCGUGACUUGAGUCUCGGAGAGGGUGGUGGAAUUCCUGGUGUAGAGGUGAAAUUCGUAGAUAUCAGGAGGAACACCGGUGGCGAAGGCGACCACCUGGACGAUGACUGACGCUGAGGUGCGAAAGCGUGGGGAGCAAACA
rnacentral:rRNA from 1 species